rnacentral:rRNA from 1 species
GUGGCGACGGGUGAGUAACACGUGGGCAAUCUGCCCUUCACUCUGGGACAAGCCCUGGAAACGGGGUCUAAUACCGGAUAACACUCUGUCCCGCAUGGGACGGGGUUAAAAGCUCCGGCGGUGAAGGAUGAGCCCGCGGCCUAUCAGCUUGUUGGUGGGGUAAUGGCCUACCAAGGCGACGACGGGUAGCCGGCCUGAGAGGGCGACCGGCCACACUGGGACUGAGACACGGCCCAGACUCCUACGGGAGGCAGCAGUGGGGAAUAUUGCACAAUGGGCGAAAGCCUGAUGCAGCGACGCCGCGUGAGGGAUGACGGCCUUCGGGUUGUAAACCUCUUUCAGCAGGGAAGAAGCGAAAGUGACGGUACCUGCAGAAGAAGCGCCGGCUAACUACGUGCCAGCAGCCGCGGUAAUACGUAGGGCGCAAGCGUUGUCCGGAAUUAUUGGGCGUAAAGAGCUCGUAGGCGGCUUGUCACGUCGGAUGUGAAAGCCCGGGGCUUAACCCCGGGUCUGCAUUCGAUACGGGCUAGCUAGAGUGUGGUAGGGGAGAUCGGAAUUCCUGGUGUAGCGGUGAAAUGCGCAGAUAUCAGGAGGAACACCGGUGGCGAAGGCGGAUCUCUGGGCCAUUACUGACGCUGAGGAGCGAAAGCGUGGGGGAGCGAACAGGAUUAGAUACCCUGGUAGUCCACGCCGUAAACGUUGGGAACUAGGUGUUGGCGACAUUCCACGUCGUCGGUGCCGCAGCUAACGCAUUAAGUUCCCCGCCUGGGGAGUACGGCCGCAAGGCUAAACUCAAGGAAUUUGACGG